UGCACUUAAAGUCUAAACAAUUGAUGACUAACUUUAAGAGUUGUCUAUAAUAUGUCAGUCACUGUGAUCUUGCCAAGACUACAUUUGUUGCAUAUUCUAGACUGUACAGUACAACUGCAUGUAUAAACAGUGCAUGUUGUACCAGAUUGAAUCAUAGUGCAAUAGCCAGCAUUGCAUCGAGGGUCACUUGAAAUCACGCUUUCAAUCCUUUAAAGUGUUUCAUGUAUUCAGAGAUAGUAUGCAAGAGUCAUGAUGAGAGUUGCAACUGCCAUGAUGGAAAAUAAGGAGAUUACAACAACCUUAAACAAAUGCGUGUAUUUAAAAGUUUUUAGAAAAAUUAUGAAAAAAUAUAUCCUCUGAAAAUGU